rnacentral:lncRNA from 1 species
GUGUUCUCCCGCUGUCGGUCGACCUUAACGCCACCGUGACCGCGCGCCGGAGAAGAACCAGCCAGUCAGUCAGCGACGAACAGCGCUACUAUUCGGGUGUGUCGGCGAGUGCGUCCUAUCAACGCGUUUACCAAAAUGAUGUGUCCUUCUCCAUCUACAUAAGUGUAGAUUUUGAAGAAGGUACGAUAAACAAGAAUAAAGACAGAGAAACAAAAAUGAAUAGACAAGAGAAAAAAUAACGAAAUAAAGAAACAAUUUACGAAAGAGAACAAGAAAGAACUUUCGAACUCUAAACUUGUUAAAUAAAAAAAAAUUGAAGUUUAAUUAGAAAUAACAACAAGAAAAAAUCUUCACCAAGAUGCCAGCCAGGUUUUAUGAAGACGACAUUGGUGUGAUGGCAACGCUGAGCGCACAGUAUCAUACGUCUGGCAGCAACAGCAUGGCGGGCAAUACAGGCACAUCAAGACUCGCGAUGAUGCAGGUAAAUAUAAUUUGAAUAUUAAAAGCUCUUUGGUUUCCGUGUUAUAGUGUGGUUAAUGGAGGUUCUUAAGGUAUUAUUUGGGUAGAGGAACAUUAAGACAAAAAUUAGAUAAACAGCAAAGUUUAUUUAAAGAAAAAAAAAGUUCGGAAAAAAAUAACACUUAAUAGCAACAACGAAAAGGGUCUGAAAAAAUACAACAACGUUAACAAAAGUAGUCAGUGGUGAUUGAAUUUUCAUCAUAAAAAGAUAUAAAUCCUUAUAAAAUAUCAUACACAGUAAUAAGACAACAAAAGGAAGAAUACUCUAGUCUACCCUCAAGGAUUUUAGUUUUCUUUGUUUGAUGGUCUAAAGGGGUGACUAUAGUAGAUUAUCCUUUAUUGGCAAAUCGUAUGUUUUAUUCUUAUUCAUAUAUCCGUUUACCUAUUGUUGCUUUCUUGGUAUUCAUAUUCAUUUAGUUAUCACCUUUUAUUUAUUCUAUUAUUUGUUAUGAUAUACCAACAACGUUCGAGCUGAUUAAAUUACGAAAACACAAUAACAGACAAAUAUUCUUACACAAAAAAAGGAAAAAAAAACAAAAAACAAAUCAUCCACAUUCAAGGAUGAUAAAAAGACAAAUGAGGAUUGCUCACAUGAAGUACGAGAUGUCUGUUCUAAAGUGCACGAGAGAGUAAUUUAAGUGGACAUUUGAUUAUGAGAUUGAGGUAGAUUUAAGUGAGGGUUCGCACGCGCUUACUUUAUCACACACACUGCGACA